ensembl:rRNA 5S_rRNA 5S ribosomal RNA
GACAUCUGGUAGAGACUGCUGAAGCCACCUGGUCCCAGCAGACCCUGGAAGUCGGCCACAUUCACUGGUGCUGGGGCAAGAUUGUUAAGAGUGAAGCCUGGUGCCAGAUGUGU